rnacentral:rRNA from 1 species
GAGAAUUGAUCUGGUCAGGAUGAACGCUGGCGGCGUGCUUAAUACAUGCAAGCCGAACGAAGCACCUGCGACGGAUCCCCUUCGGGGGAGAAGAUGCUUGUGACUUAGUGGCGGACGGGUGAGUAACGCGUGGGUAACCUGCCUUAUGCAGGGGGAUAACAGUUAGAAAUGACUGCUAAUACCGCAUAAGCGCACGGGGCCGCAUGGCCGUGUGUGAAAAGAUUUAUCGGCAUAAGAUGGACCCGCGUCUGAUUAGGUAGUUGGUGAGGUAACGGCCCACCAAGCCUGCGAUCAGUAGCCGACUUGAGAGAGUGAUCGGCCACAUUGGGACUGAGACACGGCCCAGACUCCUACGGGAGGCAGCAGUAGGGAAUAUUGCACAAUGGGGGAAACCCUGAUGCAGCGACGCCGCGUGAGUGAAGAAGUAUUUCGGUACGUAAAGCUCUAUCAGCAGGGAAGAUAAUGACGGUACCUGACUAAGAAGCCCCGGCUAACUACGUGCCAGCCGCCGC